rnacentral:rRNA from 1 species
ACUUUCAACAACGGAUCUCUUGGCUCUCGCAUCGAUGAAGAACGCAGCGAAAUGCGAUAAGUAAUGUGAAUUGCAGAAUUUAGUGAAUCAUCGAAUCUUUGAACGCACCUUGCGCUCCUUGGUAUUCCGAGGAGCAUGCCUGUUUGAGUGUCA